AUGACAGCAACAUAAGCGUGAUCAUUCCUCCAGUUUGCAUUUGAUUCUGAAAGCUGAGAUGCAUAGCUGCAGUAAAGGUCGAACCUAAUACGCAAAAGAAAUAGAAAAGAGGCAAUAAAAAAAAAAGCAGCUCUGCAAUUCCGCUCAAGAUUAAGCGGCUAACGACUUUCACUUCAAUUAGGAAACGCUAUCCUCGUGAGUGACAAUUCUUGUCUUGUAGUUCUUUUACACAUUUUUUUUUUUUGCACGCGCAGUUGUAUUUUUCUGCUUGUAUCUAUUUGCACAACAUUUUCGACUGUCCGAGCUGCCAAGGGUACACGGCACAUUACCGCCAUUAGAUUUCGACUAUUGCCCCCAACAGCUGCGCCGACGUAUCGGGACCGCACUUAAUCGUGGAGCGACGCAACUGAAUGCGCGCGUUUUCUUUUUCUUUUUUUUUCAUUUUUUUUUCACUGACACUGACACGAAGUGGGAACCCCGUCCGGCGAACGGUUUCCACGUAUACCGGCUCGCAAGGUUGGGUAUAGGCGUCAUCGCUCAGCCGUCCAGCUCAGAUUCGGAAGCGUAUAUAGUCGUGGUAUGCGGCGGAGCGCAAUAAAUGUGGCGAACCGACAGCGCGGGAAGCGAACAGUCGGUGCCCCCGCAAGCCACAAAAAAAGUGAAAAUAUAAACUCGCGCGAAAGAAGCGAGCGCGCGCGUUUUCUCUCUUUCACUGAUAGCGCGGUGCCCGCACGGUUAAAGCCACGCUCUCAGGCAACUCGCGCCGGCGUUGCGGAGUCGUCGUCGCUCGCUGUCGCACUCGUCACACACCGCAUCGCGUCCGACCUUUUCCCGCAGCCCUCGUCAUCCUUUCUCCACGCAGGAGGCGUGUGCCGCUCUCUGUCAGCUGCUGCGAAGCGCGAACGGUGCCGGAGUCGUACGCGCGCGGUCCUCGCUCCGUUCCCUGGAGCGUUGUCACUCUCGGAACGUGCCACGGUCUGGCACGCCGGUGGUGGUGGUGGUGGUUUUGGACUGCAUGCGCCUUGUGGACUUCCAGUCUGCUUUUUCACGCCGGUGAAGUUUAGUGCACCGUCUUGUUAGCCUCCUGCCUCGGCUGCGUUCUCCUACUACUACUGAUGGAAAGGUGACACGCCACGCGGAAGCUAGGAACACCUGGUGACUCGAACGUGUUCGGAGGUCUUCUUCGGAAGAAGAACGAAGCGGAGACGCGGUCUGCUCUUCCAGCAGCAGCAGCGCCAUGACGGUAGCGGUCAUCACAAAAGAUGGCCUGGCGAUCGGAACACCGGACAGCGGAACCGGGAACAACGUGAAACAUGGAGACAGACGACCGAGCGAGGCCAGCAGCCAUGGCGGCGAGGGCUGCUCGGUGCAAUGCCGCUACGUGCUCAUCGUGCUGGGAUUCCUCGGUCUGGCCAACGUGUACGGCAUGCGUGUCAACCUCAACGUGGCGCUGGUCGCAAUGGUCAACCACACGGCUGUCCAGGAGACGACCAAGCCCAGCGACUGUCCACUGCCCACGACGCACCUGCACGGUUUGGCCCAGACGCCGGCCAACGCGACUGGUCACGGAACAAAAACAGGGCAACAGGACGGCCCGUUCGUGUGGGACCCGGUGACGCAGGGCGUCAUCCUGGGCGCCUUCUACUACGGCUACAUCGUGACGCCCAUCCCCGGCGGACGGCUGGCCGAGAGGUGCGGAGCCAAGUGGCUCUUCGGCUUGGGCACGCUGUUCACCGGGCUGCUAUCCCUCCUCAUCCCGGUGGCGGCCCACGCCGGCGUCUCCUACCUGAUCGCCGUCAGGGUUCUACAGGGAAUCGGAGAGGGCGUGACGUAUCCGGCCAUCGAGGCACAAGUGGCGCACUGGAUCCCUGUCAAUCAGCGGGCCACCGCCGUCUCUCUCAUUCACACGGGUGGCUUCUUCGGCGUCGCCAUGGGAAUGUACAUCUCCGGGCUGCUGGCUGGCUCGGACUUCCUCGGAGGCUGGCCGUCCGUGUUCUACGUGUUCGGCUUAUGGACGUGCGUGUGGUUUCUGUUUUGGAUUUUGUUCACGUCCAACCGUCCAGCCGACCACCGGUGGGCCAGUGCCCGGGAGGUACACAUGAUCGAGGCGGACCUCGGCGAACAGAAGCCCACGCUUGCUCGGAAGACGCCGUGGAGGAAGAUGUUCACCUCGACAGCCGUGCUGGGCGUGGUGAUGGCGCACUUCGGCACCCACUGGCUGCAGUACGUGCUCGUAAGCGAGCUGCCCACAUACCUGGGAACUGUGCUACACUACGAGAUCGACGACAACGGCCUGUACUCUGCGCUUCCUUACAUCGGCGCCAUCGUGUCCGGAGCUAUGUCGGGCAUCAUUGCCGACUACCUGCGUAGCCGAGCCCUGAUGUCUCCGACGCACAUCCGGAAACUCUUCAAUGGACUCGCGCACUUGGUUCCUUCGGUGAUGCUGAUGAUCGUGCCCACGGUGGGUGGCUGCAACGGUCCACUCAGCCUGGUGCUCUUCGUGUUGGCCGGAACCGUGCGCGGAGUCAGCGAAGCGGGCUACAUGGCCAUUCCUGUCGACAUGGCGCCAGACUACGCAGGUACCAUUCUGGGUAUCUGCGUCAGCAUCGGCAACACAACCGGCAUCCUGGUGCCAUACAUCACAGGUGUUCUGACAGAGACAAUGAACACUCUGGAGCAGUGGAGCUACUCCUUCUAUCUGGCUGGUGUCGUGGGCCUGGUGACGGGGCUCUUCUUCCAGCUGUUCGCCUCAGCCGAAGUGCAGAGUUGGGGGCUCGUCGAAACGACACCGGACAAGGCGCCGCCGUGCGCCAACGAAAAGACGGCAUUGAAAACCUCCAAGCAAGCAACGCCGAGCAUUAACGGUGCGACCGCACCUGCAACCGAUGGCAAGGAAGCGAGGACCGAGCUCUGAUACGAAACCAAUGCCUAUCCUUGCUCGCUCAGCAUCAUAUCUUCCAAAGAAAGCAGUAGACUUGGGCGAGUUUCGCGCUGCACUGCUCUUUUCGAUGCGUAUGCCAAAGCAAGUUUAAAAGCCAUUCGCCAACACGUCGUCGCAUCAUGUCCGUUCGCUAAAGGCGACCGGGAACAACGUUGUUUCGAAUGAAACGGUGAACGAGUAAUCCCUGAAAAUUUCGUUCGCUUGAAAGCGCGGAAGACCUUCGCGCGUUUCGAGAACGAAAUCCCAGUUCCUUUAUUACAAAGGCAUCCAACGUAACCCGCUACCUGCUCCGUGAUAAGAGUGGAUUCCUAUUUGCGUUUAGUAUUUGUGCUAUAGCUGUGACCUGCUUGUGCUGUGAUGCGAGACUGAUGUGAAAGUUUGAUGGAUGCGCCAUCGUGCAAGACUGGCAAAGGCAGUGCGUUUCUUCCUUGCCUACGCAACAGCCCGAUCAAGCCAAAAUCAUCUUGACGGCCACCGUUUUUACGUGAACUGCUGCGUAUCACGCGGUGCUCUUACGACGAAAUGUACGCCAUCAACUACGUCAUUUUCUGCAUUUGUUUGCUGAUGUGUGCUUGUUAUCCCUUCUACUGGGCAGCUCAGUAUAAACGUAAAUGUGCUACAUGUGUAGGAAUGCGUGUAUUACAAAACUGCAUCUGUUGCUCGUAGCAUCCUGGCAGGUUGCAAAGUGCGUGCCAACGUGAAGACAUCAAGGCCUGUGUCCUCGUCGCCUCGAAGUUUCGAUACGUCCGUAAGCUUUUCUUCGACUGCAGUUGAUGUCUGUGCGUGAUCGAUGCGUGCAUGGAUUUUGGGGAUCUGCUACAGAUGUAGUGGCCUUCAUGCCAUAUCGAACAAGAACGGCGCCUUUGUCACAUGCCUAAUUAGGGUUCCGAAAAAAACGGCGCCGGAAAAAAUGGCCAGGGAAGAAAUGGCCCCUGAUACUAUGUCCCCGAAAAAAAACGUCCCCGAAAAAAUGUCCCCCGAAAAAAUGUCCCCUGAUAAAAUGUCCCCUGAUAAAAUGUCCCCGGAUAAAAUGUCCCCGGAUAAAAUGUCCCCGGAUAAAAUUUCCCCAGGUGAAAUGGCGCCGUAAAAAAGUUCCGGCCCCACGUGUAAACUAGGAAAAAAUGGCCUCAAAUACCUUAUGGCGGCUGUAUAAACUGCUGUAAUCUAACGUCGCCUAAAAGUAAUAUAGUCCAGCGUAUCGUUAUAGAAAAGUGAUUGCCACGAGAAAGAUAUUUUCCUAUGGAACACUAGAAGCAAGCUCGGAAUUGCAGAUUACAGAGAGCAAGCGUACAAAGGUACAGAUAAACCGAGUGAACGACGUUGUAACUUUCCACUUAACGUCUCCGCCUUAUCCUCUACGACGUGGGACGUCCACUGCACACUGUAGAUAGCGGCCACAUUAAAUUCCGGGACAGAAAGAAAAACAAAAGAAAACGAAGAAAAGAUUUUCAGCGUUCUGUUGGACAAACAAUGCAGCUUUAAGUAGCCUGUAUGAAAGGACAAAUAUGUUCGCGCAACAUUUCGUGAAUCACCGGAUAGCUAACGCUCCUAACGAAAACCGUUAGCUAUCAUACUCGGCAGUACUUCUAUUAAUGACAAUGCCACCCGGGAAAGUUCAUCAGAUCUUAUCCGGCCGCGCUUGUAGUUUUCUCUCAUGUCAUCGCCCAUUCAGAUUUCCUCAGUUACAAAAAAAAAAAAAAAAAAAAAUACCAUCUUGGGUUCUAGAUGCAGAAACCACGAUCUGGUUAUGAGGCACGCCGUAGUGGGGGACUCGGGAAUAAUGUUGACCACCUAGGAACUUUUAGCGCGCACCUAAAUCUAAGCACACGAGAGUUCUUACUGUUCGACCUCAUCAGAAUGCAACCGCCGCUGCUGGGAAUCAAACCAGCGACUUUUAGCUCUGCAACGCGCGUCCUGACCACUAACUACCACGGCGGGUCUUUCGUUUAUUAUGCCACCGCCGACUACAAUUUUUCGGGGCACUAGUUCGACCAACAAGCACUGUACGUUAGCAAAAAUUCGCAAAUAAUUUGCCUCUCAUAUUCAAACGGGUUACUCGAGAAGUCAUUUUUUUUUUACGUGGGGCCGAAAUUUCCUACAAAUUGUUUUCACCUGGACUAUUUCCCACAGGGACAUUUUUUUCCGGGGAUAUCUUUCCGGGGACAAUACUUCCGGGGGACAAUAUCUCCGGGAAAGUUUUUUUUCCUGCACCCAUCUAAUUGUGUUAUCUCAAAGCGUGCACUGGAAGUCAUGAAUGUGACACUUUUCAGAUACGCACUAUUCACGCAGUCUUGAUAACAUCUACUUGCAAGGAGCUUUGGAUGCCCCUGAUUCUAUAGCCUGUGAGCCCCACCUUUCUUUUUUCUGUGAAACUUAAUAUACUAAUAUAACCCUUACAAGUAUUUAAUAGCUGGCCAUAAAUGUUCUUUUUUUCUUUUUUAUAUGGAAAUUUGCGAGAAAGUUGAAUUCCCGCGAAGCCUGCGUAGAUAUAUACUAUAUGGCAUUAAAUUUAAAGCUUGUUUGUAUUAGUUUUUGCGCCAUACAAAGCGAUUCACCAAAUUUGGAGCGCGACGUAUUGGCAAAGCAUAAAUUAAGACGUCGUGGAAACCGUGUACCGUAAACAUUUGUUGCCAACAGUGCAUUGAUUAUUUGCCUGCCCUGCACAGGACACCCCAGGUUGUGACCAGACCUGACUUCCUGUCAUGCAGUGGGGAUGUUGUCCCUUUUAUAUUAACAUGUAAAAAUAUUCUGUUUUUAUUUAAUCUUUUGCCCUAAUAACCUGGAAUUGCCUGCCAGGCGUUUGGCUAGGCUAACACGUGCAGCUUCGAGACGUUAAGCCUCAUAUUUUAAUUAAACACAUUGUCAGAGCUACGAAGCUCUAGAAAGAGAAGCGACAACCGCAUGGAGCGUAUUUUCGGCGUAUUUGCGGGCGUGGCUCUUGUGCGCCUUUUUCGUUUGGUUUCGAUCGGCACAUAAAACCCCAGAAAGGAGAAGAAAUCGGGACGUGCUAUACGUAAUUUGGCGCACCGUCGACUUCAUACGUUGUAGUCAUAUUACAUGAAACAAUUGUUACAGAAGACAUCGCAGAUUUGAACGUGCUAACCACCGAACGAUGAGCGCACAUGGACACAGUUUUCCCAGCGCACUGCCUGCAUUCGAUGCCAAAGCAUAGUACAUCACAUACUGCAAGUUCAAGGCAUACAAAGAAUACGUGCUCUUAUGUUAACAUCAGCUCCACACGUUAGGUUCCAGUAUGUAAAGAGCAUAGUAUUUGGCCUUGCGGAUCAAAGGUUAUUCACUGCGAAACGCGCGGAGGGAUACAUUUCUGUGACCGUGGUACUCGCACAGCAUCCGCAGCGUUGUAUGCUUUGUAUGAAACUGAGUAUAUCAUUGAUCUGUAUCGCGCAUUUCUGUCGUACUUGCGUGCGUAUAUCCAUAUUUUAAGAUAUGCGAUUUAUUGCUACGACGAAUAUCACUGUGUUUGUAUGUUGCUUUAUUCAUUAGUCCCUCUCGUCUCUCUUUGUUUUCUUCUUCGGUAUGUGUGUGCGACAGCGUAACUAAAUCUAUUGUGCUUGCGGACAGCAAGGCUCUGGAGAGCCAUAGAUUAAUUUUGUGUGUGUAUGUGAAAGUGCCGUGUCGAUCCGUGUCAACAUGACUUAGAGCAGCUUGCGACUAUUGUCUUUUGACCAUCACAGUGUUUUUAAGGAUUGAAAACAAAUAAACCUACAUCUAACGCGCUACUCAUAGUUCGAUGUUUCGAAAUUCAGGAAACAGAGAGGUCUAAUAACUUAGCGGUAAUAGAGCGAAAUUCACGCACACUGUUUGAAAACAAUAUGGCAGGCAUCGGCUGUAGAUAUAACUACUUUCUAAUCUAUCGAGUGAAAAUAAAAGCUUUUUUUUUUGAAAAGAUAUUCGCAGAGAGGCUUUCAUUGCAGGAAAUGCAAUGUUCACCCGCUUUUAAAAAAAAUGUUCUCUGUUUCUAACAAUAGACGUUCAUUCUUCCUACUCCUCCUUCAACUGAAAAUUAUUCCGUAAUUUGCUCUGUCAUAUCAGCUAUCUUUUUUUUCAUUUUUUUAGCUGAACUACUAAAUUAAGCUUAUUUUAUCGGUGAGUGGCCCGAGGAAGUGAGAGAAAAAAAAAUCGGCUUUAUUGGCUGUUUGACGAGCUCGCACCCGCUGUUCAUAAAUGCUGUGCGUACAGGCAGUGGAAACAGAAUGCAGAUGGGUUGUAUUAACGCCUCUAUCACACUUCACAGUAAGAGUAAACAAUACACGCGGAAUAGCUGGAAAGCUGCAGCAUGUUCAACACCGGACCUAAUAGAUUACCAUCUUUAACACGUGCAGAUUUGCAUACGCAUGAUACGCAAGAUUUGCAUACGCAUGACAAAAAGAGUAUCAAUAUCUAGAAAAUAUAGCCCAAUUACAGUUUUAAUUCUAUAACUCAAGAAAACGCAAAGUACAUAAUAAAAUACUAUAAAAAUACAAUGUUAAGUCAUAUUGCAUGCAAUGGCUAGAUCUUUCUAAUUGACUUGUACGAACGCUCGUCUUGGUGAAGACUGUUUAAAAGUCUUGGAAUUGUGUUUGAUAACAUUAGUGUCCCAUAAUUUGUUCUAUAUAAAGGCACCGUCUAUUUUUCAAUGUGUCUGUUAUCGUAUGAAAGCAGUUAAACAAUUACAUUGAACAUCUUGUGAAAAAAACAACAACUUUUAUUCAGCCUUUUUUAGCAGCAUUUUGCAUAAGCAUAGUAGGAACAAUGUGCACCUGUACCUGAAUCUUAUUUGAAGCUGAGAGAUCAAUUAAUUUUCGAGUGUUAAAUACACACCACGUCGUUUGCCCUGCUUGGGCACAGUUCCGGCCUUAUAUUUACGAAACCUGUCAUUCGUUGACAGUAAAUGCAAAUCAAUCUGUGUCUCUGCUCCUGCGGAUAUGCAACGACUGCACAGUAUACGUUGAACCAAGUCG